GGUAUUGAGGAACCAUAUAAUGUUAUUUACACUACCUACUUUCUAAUCUGCCUCAUCUACUCACCUUCCUCUUUCUCUUCCUGUAAUCUUAUUGCAUGGAAGAAAUUUUUGGUGAAGACAAGUUGUCUGUUUUUCUUAAAAUCAUUUUUUUAGCUAGUGGUAUGUCUCGAACACUUUCCUAAUAGUUCAUUGAGAUAAAGUCAUAACAUUUUUUUUUUCUUUCUUCGCUACCCUCACUCAUUGCCCCAUUGGAAUUGACUGCAAAUUGCAAUUUUCUAGAGAAAGAAUCAGUAAUCCUUUCUACACAGUGGCCUUGGUGAUUUCAAAACUUUAAGAAUAUUUAAAAUAUUCAAGUUCUUUCUCCAAAAACUGGUGACUUUCUGCUGCUGAGCUCCUGAAAGUUUUUGAGAAGAAAGUUGAAAGAGUAAAGAAGUAUAACUUGACAUUUCUUCUGCAAGAAAAAAACAAGAAGAUGGUGACUUUCAAGACCUCAGUCAAUGACUAAAGUUCUGUGACCACAGUGAGCAUAUUACUGCGGUAACCAGGGCAGUAAUGUCAAGACAAAGGUCAGGGUUGGCUUUAAGAAAGAAGCCUGAGAACCGGAACUACAUAGAGGCCAGAAAAUCAGUGUCUACAUGCUAAAGGCAAUUUUCAGGAACAAGUACCAGGAGCAGAUCAACAAAACAAAGAAGAUCAACAAAACAAAUAAGGAAGGUGGUUUUAUGAACCCAGAGGGGCAGUGGUUAUGAGUUGUGGUGCCACUUUAUUCAACCUUAUCUGCUUGGAAGUUUUUCUCCUACACCAUUAAACCCCUCACUGAACCAAACUUUGUACAGACUGCAGCCAAGAAGGGCUGUAUUAUGGCUUUCUUGGACCUCUUCAUCCACAAAAAUAUUAAAAAUUGUAUUUCAUGA
rnacentral:lncRNA from 1 species